CACGCUGCACUCCUCUCUUCUACAGCCUCAAGCUCUGGCAAAAAAGGGGGAGGCAGCAAAGUCCUCAAAAGACAUCCUGGGGUCUUUGAGGCCUUCAUCUCCAUACAUUUGAAAGACUCGGUGGAGCAGUAAAAGUACUACACCUCAGGGGACUGAAAGAAAAGUGAACAGUGGAUCCAUCGCAAAGGUACCUGGACUUUGGCUGACCACAGGACAAGUUGUUUCUGGGCACCUUUUUCUUCUGCUGUGGUUGUUGCUGCUGUUUCUGCAGGAUCUCUGAUGAAGGAGGCUGUUGGGAUCAGUGCACGGCCUCUGCACCGUGGCAGCAUAUUCUGCAUCCACCCUCUUCAGCAGAGCUUUGGCUCCAUGGUGUUUAGCCAGAAGCCCAUCGGUGGCUGCUCUCAUGGGGGCCGUCCACCGGCCGUGGUCCAGGACUUGAACCAGGCCUCCCGUCUUAAUGGGUCCAGUGCGGGCGGCUCGAGGAGAUCAGGAUAUGGGCAGUGGCGCUACCCCUCGCAGGUCUUGGGAAUAAAGCAUAUGUUUAUUAUAUUGUUUAUAUUAUUAUUACAAGCUAAUUGUAUACAGUAGCCAUAUGUGAAGUUGUUUUUAACGGUUAACUGUUGUGCAUGAGGAAUGGUAGGUGGGUAACCUGUAUCCAUCAAAGGGUGAGACUCUUCUUUGGCUGUGGCAGAUGCUGGUAUAGGUGGCUGGAAAUGGAGGAUCGGCACUGCUCCCACUGGGUUGUCCUGGGCAGUGCCAUCACUGGUCUCCUGAAAUACAGCAUCAAAUAUAAUGAAUGAGUCAGUCAGUCAUUCUGUCAGCGGGUUGGAAAUUGACAGUGUGUGAUUCAUCUGGAUUACCUGAGAGUCUGCCCGCUACAAUGUCAUGCACUUCAUCCUGGGCAGAGGAGUGCAGCUGUGUCGCCACGGUUACAGCAGCAGAGGUGUUGUGCUGUGUCCUGUGUUUGUCCCAGUUUAAAACCACAGGACGACAGCCUGGCUCCACAUACUGCAGACCGAAUCUCUCCCCUGUGUCCCCUGUGUCCCUGUUUGAGAUGUGCAGGGCUGGGUAUUUUGGCACCCCUGUCACCCUUUGACAGGCUGCGUUCAGUUCCCAAAUGAGCGCAGGGUCAAACAGCUUGCAGCUCCACACACUGGGUGUGGAGCACCCACUGUCACCCACUGGGCCUCUAGUAGCCUCUGAGGAUGUGAACACGCUAAAUCCUCCACACUGUUAACAUCGACGGCUUAAACAGCGGCCUACCAUCAAGAUCAGUCUCCAAUUAGAAUCGCUGCAGAAAGCGCUCAACUCUCAGGAACCAGGUACCCUGGUGCGACAUUGCUCUUUGAUGUACCGUUUGGUUGGAUUAGCAGGCGUACCACAGAAGACGUAUACCUGUUUCAGUUUCUCCAGGUCUGUCUGGUCCACGAUAGUAAAAGCUGCUGAAAGGAACUUGCAGGAAGAGCUGUGCAGUGGAUGGUGCUCUGACACACAAUCUCUGGAGAGGCAUUGCAUGCAAUGAAGCUGUUGAACCUGCUGAGGGAUGCACUGGUGUUGUGGAGGGCCCCCGAAGUUGCCUCAGCCACUAAAUCCUCUGUGGUUUUCCAGCAGUCCCAGUGGAGCUGCUUCUGGGGACCAGGGUUUGAGAUCCUGAAGGCUGCACAGCAGUCCCUGUACACACACAGAGAGAAGUAUGUUUAAGAUGCACUUUGUUUUAUUCAAGUUGCAAUAACGGUAAAUAAGUGAAAAGGGGAUGGUGGUGAUUAGUUCUUACCUGUCAACCCACUGGUAUUGGGCUUUGGGGAUGUCUGCGUAGGUGUAACGGCAAGACAACCCCUCAUACAUGGGUUCCAAGGAUCUGUCACCCUUUGACUGAAGCAUAACCCAGCACGGGAUCAUCCAGUUUUCGUUCAUCACGGCAUAUGAGGACAUGGUUCCUGAAGCAAGAACUUCUUUCCGAGCCUUCUUCCGGGUGUGGUCAGCUCUCAAGGCCUGACGAAAUGUGCCUUGGGAGAGUAGAACAAGGGUGUCUUCCUGUCUGUUGUACUCCUGAAUUAGGCACUCGACCAGAUAAUGACCCAAAAACGUCACUACGUGCCACCCAUCCACAUACCCACCAAAUGGAGCAGGAGUUGCUGUUGCUCUCAUUGCCCCUGUGAUGGUUCGCUGUCCAUACAGCCCAGCUUCUCCAUCCAGCACGUUCUUCACACUUGACAGGUAUGUCAAGUGUGCCCGCUCAUACUUGAGGUGGAGAGUCUCAUUCAACUGGUUGGCCAUGUCAUUGGGAGACUUUCCAGAUUGCGCAGCUCAUCUAACAGUCUUACAAAUUGCCUUCUUCAUUGUGUCGAAAGCUGGUCAAAUCUUGGAGAAUCGGCUCGGCAACAUGUCACACCCAUUGAGGCUUGUCUGUGUGCCAGAACUCUUUGCAUCCUUUGCAACAGAGCCGUGACGCCAGGAUGUAAUACUGGCCACCCAAGCCGAUAAUGACACGGGGUCGCCCAACUCCUGAUGACACUACGAAAGGACUUCCACAGCCAUAGAGACAGGGCAGAGUGUAGUUGUUCUUCACUCGCUCCAUGAUGGUGUGCUCUGGCUUCCAUAUAAAAAAUGGAUGGAGCUGGAAGUUGGGCGGCGGUAGGUCGUUAACACUGUCAAUAAGCUCAGGCUGAGGUGGGUAACGCCACGAGGAGAUCAUAUUCAUCAGAUGUCUCACCGGUUGAAAACCUUGCCAAAGCCCCAAUGCCUCCAUCUCAGUCUUCAUCCAGAUUCUCUGAUGGUGGAGCAGUUCCAACGAAUGACAUCCUGGUCGUAGCUUGGGAGUGGUUGAUCAGUAGACUUGGUAGCCCCGCCCAUUCUGCCAGUGAUUUGAGUUUGCCCUGCAGAAGCAAUACAUUUCCUUCUAGUUUCGAUACUUUUUUGCCGGAGCCAAUCACCAAGCUGGCUUUUCGCCCUGGCGCGCUAUUGGCUGGUUUAACACAAUGAAGACAGGGAAGCGAGGGCAAGCAGCCAAUUGUGUACAGAGUUUAGUGUUAUGGCCCCAUGCAGGGCUAUGUUUUGUCUUGCAGGUCGGGCUGAUUGGUGACACUGGAUGAUUGGGGAUUGACACUACAUGCAGUGUCCUCCACUCCCUUAUAAGCCAGUCUCUUGUCCUUGUCACCCUGAUAACAUGUUUUCUUUUUAGUUCUCACGGGUUAAUAGUCCCUGUGUUAAAUUAGCUUUUGUCAUGUAGGUUUUGGUUAGCAGCAUAUUUUGGUAUAGUUGAACUUUGUUUUUGUUAAAUAAAUAUACUUCUGGCUUAAACGAUGCGUGGCCGUUAUAUUUGUUGUGGUCCAAGAGCCGACCAUAACAAAUUGGGGGUUAAAACUAGGAGUUUGAGUUGGCGCCUUUCCACCGGCACGGAGUGGAGUGGUUUCCCCGGGGUGGUGAGGUCAUGUUUGCGAUUCCUAUUUUUUUAAGCGCUUUUGUAGAGCCUCGCGUAGUGAGUGAUUUUGUAUUUUCUGGGGAGUCUGUGGGACUGAUGCUCGGAAUGAAUGGAGUCAUCAUUUGCAUUUAGAGUUUGGUAGACGGUAACGGUUCAAGGGAAGGGAAGUUUUGACCAUGAAAAGCACACAUGCUGGCCUCUUGAGUUCCUCUGUAGGCAUAGCGCGUUUCCCCUUUGGUGUUCGUGGGCUUUGAACUGUAGUGUGGGGUGAAAGUGGUUAGAGCAGUCGUCUCGGGAGCACUCCGGAGUCUUGGAACGGUUGCCAGCUUGCUGGUCGCUUUACCCCUCUACUGGUUUACAGUGCAUAAAUACCCGCCGUCAGUAGCCCCUGAAGACUAGUGUGCAGUUUAGCAAGGUUUGGUUAGGCAGUUGGAGGGAAUACUUGACUAAGAGGUGGUUUUCGGACCAAGUGCUGCAUUUCUAGUCAAUACUUUGCAUUCUUUUGAUUCCGUUUGCUGGUUUAUGUUCACGUGCAAAAUGAGUUUUUUGGACGCUUUCUGUAAGGCUCCAUCAGAGGAGUUGCUGCAGUGCACACGAGAACAGUUGGUUAAAAUAGUAGAACAUUUCUGUGGGCGAUAAACAGCUCAAAGAUAAUGUUAAGUCUCUUCUUAAGUCAAACUUAUGGGAAAUGAAGGUUUUGAAAUCAUCCGUGAUGCCACCUGUACCUAUCUGUCCAACUGGGUUUGUGUCACAGGAGACGCUGUCUUUGACUUUUGAGCAGCUGAAAGAAUUAUUCUGCCUGUGCAUGCAGUUAGAAAUGGAGAUGGAGGUUACUCUUGAGAAAUUGAGACAGCGGACUGAAUUGGCUAAAUUGGGGGUAGAAACUGAGAGGCUAAAGUUAAUAAAAGAGGGCAUAUUGGGUGACAAAUCGAGGACUAGGGGUGGGAAAAAUAAUCGAAUCUUCGAUGCAUCGCGAUUCUCGCUAGAACGAUUCUUUCUCGAUGCAGAUAAAUUAAUAAUCAGAAUAAACAAAAAAACAUCAUUUUAUUUUUUAUUUAUGGCUGCUGCAACAUUCUGUUCGUCAGAGAGGGAUAAUUUUUGUGAUUUUAAAAUGAUUGAAUUUAUCUUCAGUGUGUAUUGGCCAAUCUGAUUUGUCUUGACACGAUUGCGAUUCAGCCUACGCAUAGCAUGUGCGCAAACUCACAGCCAGACACAAGAACUCCUAAUUCAAGAGCAGCUUUUCCUUUAAUGACAGAAAAGAAAGAUUAGAAAUAAAACUGAAACCUAUUUUUUGCAUGCUUCCAUUUUGUGUUAUAAUGCAAGCUGCAUUGAUUAUUGCAUUGUUCAUAGAAAGUCAUAUUUGUGACAAAAGCUUUCUCUCUUAUGUAAUAUUAGAUAAGUUAAUUCAACUGUUGUCUUUAAUGAUCAUCACAUAAGUAGGAAGUGAUUAGCAAACUCUGAGUAGCAAACCCAGAUGUAUAUAUUUUUGAAAAUCACGCAUGGAAAUGUACAUAAAAAAAAUUGUUGUAUCGAGAUGCAUCGAUAAUCGCUUCAGAAUCUCAUCGUUGACAUCAUAAUCGGAAUCGAAUCGUGUGGUGCCAAGAGAUUCCCACCCCUAUCAAGGACGCGUGAAGGCUCACCGGAUGACGAUGGAGCCUGUGAUAUUCUGAGUAGUCUCCGUUUAGUGGCUAAAU